GGCCGGUUAGCUCAGUUGGUUAUAGCGUCGUGCUAAUAACGCGAAUGUCGCGGGUUCCAUCCCCGUACUGGCCA
rfam:Ciona savignyi cont_31547, whole genome shotgun sequence.